rnacentral:rRNA from 1 species
CCUACGGGAGGCAGCAGUGGGGAAUAUUGGACAAUGGGCGAAAGCCUGAUCCAGCAAUGCCGCGUGAGUGAUGAAGGCCUUCGGGUCGUAAAGCUCUUUUACCAGGGAUGAUAAUGACAGUACCUGGAGAAUAAGCUCCGGCUAACUCCGUGCCAGCAGCCGCGGUAAUACGGAGGGAGCUAGCGUUGUUCGGAAUUACUGGGCGUAAAGAGUACGUAGGCGGUUAUUCAAGUCAGAGGUGAAAGCCCGGGGCUCAACCCCGGGAACUGCCUUUGAAACUAGAUAACUAGAGUCUUGGAGAGGUUAGUGGAAUUCCGAGUGUAGAGGUGAAAUUCGUAGAUAUUCGGAAGAACACCAGUGGCGAAGGCGACUAACUGGACAAGUACUGACGCUGAGGUACGAAAGCGUGGGGAGCAAACAGGAUUAGAUACCCUGGUAGUCCACGCCGUAAACGAUGAUAACUAGUUGUUCGGUCACUUGGUGACUGAGUGACGCAGCUAACGCAUUAAGUUAUCCGCCUGGGGAUACGGUCGCAAGNUUAAAACUUAAAUGAAUUGACGG